rnacentral:rRNA from 1 species
GAUCCAGGAGUGUGGAUGGGUAGGAGAGCGUUGUGUAACUAGUGAAGCGGCGGAGGAAUCCAGCCGUGGAAGUUACACAAGUGAGAAUGUAGACAUGAGUAGCGAAAGACGGGUGAGAAACCCGUCCACCGAAUGACCAAGGGUUCCUGAGCCAGGCUAAUCCGCUCAGGGUAAGUCGGGUCCUAAGGCGAGGCCGACAGGCGUAGUCGAUGGACAACUGGUUGAUAUUCCAGUACCCACAAUAAACCGACCGUGACGAAUCAAUAAUGCUAAGUGUUUGAAGUUGGCUAGCAAUAGCUGAUGGAGCGCACGACCCAAGUUGGUAGUAGUCAAGCAAUGGAGAGACGCAGGAAGGUAGUCCAACCCAGGCGAUGGUUGACCUGGGGUAAGAGUGUAGGAGGUUCUGUAGGCAAAUCCGCAGAACAAUCUCUGAGACUUAAUGCCGAGCCGUAAGGCGAAGUGGAUGAUCCUAUGCUGCCAAGAAAAUCUUCUAGCGAGGUUUAUAGUGGCCCGUACCCGAAACCGACACAGGUGGUCAGGUAGAGAAUACCAAGGUGAUCGAGAGAAUCGUGGUGAAGGAACUCGGCAAAAUACCCCCGUAAUAAACGGCGGUGGUAACUAUAACCAUCCUAAGGUAGCGAAAUUCCUUGUCGGGUAAGUUCCGACCUGCACGAAUGGCGUAACGACUUGAGCGCUGUCUCCACCAUGAACUCGGCGAAAUUGCAGUACGAGUAAAGAUGCUCGUUACGCGCGGAAAGACGGAAAGACCCCGGGACCUUUACUAUAUCUUGAUAUUGGUACUCGGAACGUUCUGUGUAGCAUAGGUGGGAGACUUUGAAGCGGCACGCCAGUGUUCGUGGAGUCAAAAAUUGAAAUACCACUCUGAACGUUUUGAGUUUCUAACCUCGGCCCAUUAUCUGGGUCAGGGACAGUGUCUGGUGGGUAGUUUAACUGGGGCGGUUGCCUCCCAAAAAGUAACGGAGGCGCUCAAAGGUUCCCUCAGCCUGGUUGGUAAUCAGGUGUCGAGUGUAAGUGCACAAGGGAGCUUAACUGUGAGACAGACAUGUCAAGCAGGUGCGAAAGCAGGAACUAGUGAUCCGGCGGUGGCUUGUGGAAGCGCCGUCGCUCAACGGAUAAA